GUGAGUCAUCGAAUCUUUGAACGCAUAUUGCGCUCGAGGCCUCGGCUAAGAGCAUGUCUGCCUCAGCGUCGGGUUAAUCUCAUCCCAAUCUAUACAUACUUAUGUACGGAUUGGUAUGGAUCUGGCCGUUCCAGUUCAGUGGCGUGCUCCUUCACACUACCAUGUGAGUGAGCGCUUACAUACACCCUGGAUCGGCUGAAGCGUAGAAGCUCUCCAGGACCCGCUUGCGGGCCACAAUUGGGUAGUGGGCUUGGUCAUCCUUUACGGGUUGGCCGUGUCGACAAUGCACAAUUGUUGGCC
rnacentral:misc_RNA from 1 species